AAAAAGUCAACCUUUCUGUUUUGUUUUUUUUUUCCUUUUUUCUUUUUUCUUUCCUUCCCUGGUCCCUCCAUUCAGUAGACCUUGAGAAGCUAGUAGUAACUAGGGCCGGCCCAGUAUUUACUGAGCUUGUGAGUCUCCUGAGUAACACAAACGGGUAGUGAGUGUUGUGUUAAUGAACAAAGAGUUUCUAGCAGAGACUUUCCAAACAGGCUGUGAGAUACUCUUCCAAAAGCCUGCAUCCUGGAUUCCAUUAACCAAGAAAACCAGUGCAAGAUUUCUGGACUCUUUCACCAUGUUGCCAAUCAAUACUGGAGUAGCAAAAAACAAAAACAAAAACAAACAAAAAAACAAAACAAAAAACAAAAAAUAUUUUCUGGAACACUGUUUUUUAAUUCCCUCACUGGGGUGCAUUGUGUAGCUGGAAAUUCUCUUUGUAAUAAUAAUUUGUGAGCUAUAGCCUGGCUCUCUUUCAUGAUACACAGGCACUCCUCCUUAUAAAUACCCUUCCGUUAGUGUUGCAAGCUCAAAUAGUAAGAUACGCAAUGAGCUUCCUUGUUUCUUUAUUUGAGAACCUGAUAUACAAAGAGAUCCUCUGUUGUUGGUGGCUGUUUUGCCCCCAGUCCCACCUAUGGAAGAGUGGUCCAUUGACCUGAUGAAGAUAUUACAAUUGGAGGGACUGAUGUGGAAAUUAAUAAGAGUAACAGAAUCUCAAUACAGGAAAGUCAGCAUAGCAGGUGUUUUUGCUAUGCCCAUAAGUAGUGAUUUUAUCUUUUCUUGGCUGCUUACAUGGGGCAGCUAUGAACUAUGACAAAUGUAGAUUUUUUUUUCAAAGCAAUACAGAGUACUAAAGCAGAGGAACCUUAAUAUCAACCACUAUCUUUCUCAGCCAUUCCAGAAAAAAAAAAGGCAAAGCAAUUACUAUUCCUUUACUUUUUAAAAUAGUAAUUAGUGUGGUUUUGUGCACUUCAUACUGUCACUUUUUAAAUACUGCAGAAAAGAGUUACAAUAACAUACAGGAUUUGGUGGGCUCAUAUAGGUAGAAACUGUAACUCAAGACCUGAAUCUAUGGUCAUCUUUUUAUUAGUCACAUUGCAGCUAUCCUCAGGUACCAAAUGUUUUUGAUUUUUAAAUAAAGAUAGUAAUAAAAGAAGGAGGUAUUCUAUAAAUUUAAAGUUCAGUUGGCCCAGCCUUAUAUUAAAGAUAGCCUUAUGAGAAAGAUUUGCCAUGAAACAGAAGUAUAUUUUUGGCAGAGAGAAAUUUAAAUAGAACUUUAAAAUUCUUAUUUCAAUAUCCUUGAUAUCAUUCUCUCUUUUUUAUUGUUGUUUUACAUGGUUUUUUUUAUAGAUGUUUGGGUUUAUUUUUUGUUUGUUUGCUUGGUUUUUGCUUGUUUGUUUACCAUCUGAUUUAAACAAAUUGAAAGAGUAAGUUUAUACUUUGGCAUAAUCUGUCAUUCUCCAGUUUUAAAUAUUUAAGGUUAUAAUAACUAUUGACAUUGCUUUUCUGAUACCUGUCCUUAUUUGACAUUUUAAAUCAAAUCUUCCACAUUAGCACAUUAAAAGCUAACAACAACUCACAAACAUAUUAUCUUAAAGUGAAUCAAGCUUCCUAAAUAAGAUACGAAAAUAACAUUGAGAGCAAUAUAAUCCCAAAUAGUAAUAAGAUUCUUGAAACAGAAAAGAAAUCUAGCUAACUUGCAUAGCUUCAUUAAAAGAAAAUGCCUGCCUCUACCUGAAAACCCAAGUAAACAUUCUGAAAUGUCAAUGUCCCUUGGUAUCCACCAAAAAGGUGGCAUUUGCCUGGGGUUAGUGUCUGAUUUCUUAAAAAUUAAUAUCUUUCUGGAUAUGCUCUGCUUUCCUAAUUAUAAAUUUAGUUUUAUUGACCUUGGUUUUCUGUUUUCUUUUCAUGUGCAUUUUAUUUCUUUGACAGUUCUCACAAACAAAUCCUUUUGCUAUGAUUUCCAUAUUUUUGUUAAAAAAUUACCACCUGAUGAGGAAUUCCACUAGAAAUUCAAGUUUAAUGCAAUUCCCAUCUGUAUUUCCCUUGUGAUAUCAUAGUCAACCAUAAUAAAAAUGUAUUCAAUUAGAGGAAUAAAAUUAUUUUUCCUGUAUGUUAUCAUAACAUUUUCAAUCCCAUUGACUAUAUUGUAUAGUGCACAUACCAGUAAUACAUAUUUGGAAUCUUUUAAUUUGGAAUGAUGCUAACUCUCUCUUUGCCAGUUCUAAUACCAGGUUCCAAGUAAUAACUAUAAUAUAAAGAGAACUGAACAUUUAAUUUAGGGCUAGGAUACAAACUUCCCGAUUUAUUUGGGUACCUAUUCUUACUGAGUUUCCUUGAUAACAAUCUGUUCCUGAUACCCAGUGAUAAACAGUUGGAAUAUGC
rnacentral:lncRNA from 1 species